rnacentral:misc_RNA from 1 species
GAACGCAUAUUGCGCCCUUUGGCUAUUCCGAAGGGCAUGCCUGUUUGAGUGUCAUGAAUAUGUCAACACAGACAAGUUUUUACACCACUUGCUCGGCGUGUUGGAUGUUGAAGGCUUGCUGGCGUCUUGUCAGCUCCUUUAAAAUUCAUUAGCAGGAACGAUGCAGAACCGGCUUCAGUUUGAUAAGAUGAACUGCUGCCAAGGAUGCGCACUUCUUUCCGGCUUCUAACUGUCCAGGGACCUGGACUGCCUCACUAGCGUAGGCAAGUUCACUUAUGACAACUUGGCCUCAAAUCAGGUAGGAUUACCCGCUGAACUUAAG